GGAGUCCUCCCACAGAGGCAACUUGAGCCUCAACUUGGCAGAAUAUGAAACAGCCUUGGCCAUCCCUUUCUCUGCAAGUUUCUCUUUAAUUGCAGAAAUCUGGGUGGCCUUCGCACGAGUUGUUUGUACAGCCACGGAAAAGAGAUAAGUUUGGUAACCUUGGAAAACCCGAUCUCUUUUUUUUCCCAGCCUCCUGAGAAGCAAGGUCCAGAGGAACAAACACUGUGCGUGGGAAACCAGAGAGGGGCUCUGGAGGAGGGGACGGAAGAGGCCAGAAACGGGGUGGCUUUUCUGAAGAGCCAAGACAUAACCAUUUGGCAGUAAAUAGGACUUGAAAGCAAAGAAUCAGAC
rnacentral:lncRNA from 1 species